rnacentral:tRNA from 1 species
UGCGGAGUGGUGGAAUUGGUAACACGCCUGACUCUGGAUCAGAAGGUUCCAGGUUGGAGUCCUGGCUCGGUGG